AGAACGAACGCUGGCGGCAGGCCUAACACAUGCAAGUCGAACGCUCUUUUCGGAGAGAGUGGCGCACGGGUGAGUAACGCGUGGGAAUCUACCCUUUGGUUCGGAAUAACCCUGGGAAACUAGGGCUAACACCGGAUAAGCCCCGAGAGGGGGAAAGUUUACGCCGAAGGAGGAGCCCGCGUCCGAUUAGCUAGUUGGUGAGGUAAGAGCUCACCAAGGCUACGAUCGGUAGCUGGUCUGAGAGGACGAUCAGCCACACUGGGACUGAGACACGGCCCAGACUCCUACGGGAGGCAGCAGUGGGGAAUAUUGGACAAUGGGCGCAAGCCUGAUCCAGCCACGCCGCGUGAGUGAUGAAGGCCUUCGGGUUGUAAAGCUCUUUUGGCGGGGACGAUGAUGACGGUACCCGCAGAAUAAGCCCCGGCAAACUUCGUGCCAGCAGCCGC
rnacentral:rRNA from 1 species